AUUGAACGCUGGCGGCAGGCUUAACACAUGCAAGUCGAGCGAGCGGCGGACGGGUGAGUAAUGUCUGGGAAACUGCCUGAUGGAGGGGGAUAACUACUGGAAACGGUAGCUAAUACCGCAUACCAUCAGAUGUGCCCAGAUGGGAUUAGCUAGUAGGUGGGGUAAUGGCUCACCUAGGCGACGAUCCCUAGCUGGUCUGAGAGGGUGACUGGCAACACUGGAACUGAGACACGGUCCAGACUCCUACGGGAGGCAGCAGUGGGGAAUAUUGCACAAUGGGCGCAAGCCUGAUCGAGCCAUGCCGCGUGUGUGAAGAAGGCCUUCGGGUUGUAAAGCACUUUGAGCAGGGAGGCGGUACUCGCAGAAGAAGCAACGGCUAACUCCGUGCCAGCAGCCGCGGUAAUAC
rnacentral:rRNA from 1 species